ACCUAUAAGACUGGGAUAACUUCGGGAAACCGGAGCUAAUACCGGAUAAUAUUUUGAACCGCAUGGUUCAAAAGUGAAAGACGGUCUUGCUGUCACUUAUAGAUGGAUCCGCGCUGCAUUAGCUAGUUGGUAAGGUAACGGCUUACCAAGGCAACGAUGCAUAGCCGCCCUGAGAGGGUGAUCGGCCACACUGGAACUGAGACACGGUCCAG
rnacentral:rRNA from 1 species